rnacentral:lncRNA from 1 species
GGAAAGUCAUGUACCUGAGCUGCUGGGGACCAAAUUGAUCGAGCCCCACCACUAAAACUACUAGGCAGUUUGUAAUUUUAAGAUACAUGGGGUGAUGUAAAACUGGAAAUUUUGGUAAUUUCCUAGCUACAAAAUUGUAAAUUUAAAAUUUGAGGCCCUUUUUUGCAAUGAAUUUGAAUAGAAAAUCCAUUUCUUUGUUAAAUUACGGGUUCUGUUAUUAUUCCUUAACUAAAUUAAUUGCAUUAGCAUCUCACGGAGCAGCAGAACUGCUUCAUUUUCCUUUUCAAGAAAUGCGUAAAUAUCCUUCAAGUAAUAAGAAUUAUUGUCCAUUUCACCAAAAAUUUCUCAAAUGCACGAGUAAACUCCAAAAAAGAAUGUUGUUUCUUUUUUUUUCCCCCGGUUGAAUCUAGAACGUUGUUGAUACUUGAUUGGUUAAUAUAUAGGAGCUAUCUAAACGGAGAGAAAAUACUCUCAUAUGUAAAUCCAAGACUUAGAUAGACUACAGAAAGUGUUACUUCUGGCGCAUACUACGUCUCCGUCCCAAAAUUCUAACAAGACAAAUGGCCAUUGGCCAACAGCUUCUUUGUAAUUCCAAGUUGCUAUCGCACUGUCUGGGUACAGUGCACCUAUUACAACUAACUAGUUAUAAAACCGGGUGCUCAUUCAUUGUCAACCAUGUACAGCUAGUUUUGUUAUGUUCACUCCCAUAGAUGUGAUUAACUACCGCAUUACAGGGGAAGCAUUACAAUGAUGUAUUUAGCCCAACUCGGGUAGCUCGAGUGAUUUCGUUGCUCCUCUUUAGAAUAUGGCGACCACGGUUUGAGUCCCGAGGAAAUCGUGUUCGAAAGGAACGGGUCUCUCUUCUCGGGUCACAGGAGGAGUAGUAGGGCCGAAGGCCCGGAUACCCCUAGAUCAGAAAAAAAAAAUUACAAUGAUGUAUUUAUCUGAUUUGGAGGUUCGCUCUCCAACUCUUUUGCAAUGGAGUAUUGUGCUUCCUUUCUUUAUAAAAUUCAGAGCACAGUAAUGCAUUUAUCUGAAUUGGAGGUUUGCUCUCCAACUCUUAUACAAAUCCAGUUAGGCUCAUCCUCUCUCUUAUAGUGUAGCAGCAGUCUUCAUCGUUGUAUCCAAAAUUAAUCUCUUUUAUUCAAAUUCAAAUUAACCUGAUAUGCUCCAUCGAUUGCUUGCUUGGUGCUAUUGAUCUGAUAAUUGCAGGAAACAAGUCCCCUAUUUUGUACAAUGAAAGUGUGAUAGAGACGUCAAUCGUAAACUUUUCCAUCCUAAUUAUAGACAGGAUUGUAGUCAUCCAAGAGAAAAUCUCAAAUAUACAUUGAAUAUGUUUGCUUAUUGAUUAUGAACAAAACAAAUAAAAGUAAAGUUGUAUCUGAAUGGAAUUAGCCUUUUGUAUAUGUGACAUGGGUACAAGUAAUCAAUAACUCCUAAUGAUUGAUUACCCUCUCAAUGCUAAGUCAAGAAGAAGAUAGUUUAGAUAGAGUAUUAUUUGAAAUAAUUAUUAUAGCAUUUUUUAUGAUGUGCACAUGAGAUUAAAAAAUAGUUGAAAACAUUAACAAUUAUGGUUAAAAAAUAUAUUUAUGAUGCUAACAAAAUAAUAUUUAGGUAUAAUUUCAGAAACCUUCCUUGGGGUUUUUGACAAUUACACAUAAAUACUCUCCAAUAUCAAAAAUUACAGUGCCCUCCCCUUAAUUGACAUAUUUGAUAACAAAUUAAGUCCAUGUUAGAAAAAGUACUCUUAAAGUAAUGAAUCAGUUUUGUCAAACAAUUAUAUUUCAAGUUUGCCCUCAUUGAAUCUUAAAGAAAAUAAGUUAAAAUUUUGGGCAAGAAAAAUGGCAAUAAAAAAAGGAAGAAAAAUUGGCACCAAGUUCAUCCGCUAAGGACAUGAAAUUAACAUUAAACAAAUCAGCAUUUUGGACAGCAAAGUCCUACAAGAAUUGAUGGUACUUUGUGGACAAUAUAUAGCAUAAAAUGCUAGUGAAUGAGCACAAAAAAAAAAAAGAGGCCAAUUUCAACUGAAUACAAAGGCAAUGAAAGAAACAUGUCUUCAUCAAACUAUCGUCGGAGCUCAUUUCAUGCAGGCACAUCAUUGAGGAUGAAAAAUAGAAACUAUAAUGGGUGUGGAUGGAAAGCAACAAUUAAAAUUUUUUAAAGCAAAAAAAAAAAUUCCUGGCAGGUUAUAUUUUGGUUGUUCUAAGUAUGGCUAUUUCAAGUGGUUUGAUGGCAAUGUAGCCAAAGAAGUGAGUAGUCGAAGACAAGAAGAUCCAACACAAGUUCAAAUAUCAAAAAGCAUUGGCAACAAUGUAGUGUCACCGACCCAAAUAUUGAUAAUGAUCAACAUGAGUUUACUAAUUAUAUUCAUUUUCAUUCAAAUUGUAAAGUUCAUUUGAAAUAUGGAUAUAAUUGUAAGAAUGUACCACAAAAAGUGUCUUGGUAGUUAUAUAGUGGCAGAACUAAAAGGCCAUAAAACGGUGGAUUUAAAUUCAUCUAUGAUAUUUAGUAAGAGUUUAUCUACUGUGAUUCAAAAUCAAAGAUUCUAGAUGUACAAAGCACUAUAAACUAAAUAAACUAAAACAAGUCUUAAAUAUAAUAAACAACAAGGUCAUACACUUCAAACUGGUUGAAUACCCAUAACAAGCAAUCCAAGGCAAGAAAAACAUGUCAACAAGGUUAUACACUUAAUGGCGCCAAAUUGCAUAUAAAAAUACUAUACUUGGAAAACUAGUCUUUUCCCCAUAUUUUUAGUAUUUUAGGGAUUGAUUUUGUGGGCUGUUGAAUAUGACAACCGGUCAUAUCAAAGUGAAAGAGGAGGGCACUGUAAUUUUUUAUAUUGGAAGGUAUUUAUGUGUAAUUGUCAGAAACUUCAGGGGAGGUUUCUGAAAUUAUCCCUAAUAUUUAUACUAUAUAUAAAGGGAGCCUUAAAUUUGAUGUAAACUUUUUUUUGUCAUCUUUUAGAUUUCCAGCUUCACCCUCUCGAUCACUUAAUUAUACCACCAUAUUGCUAAUCAACUUAACCACAAAUUAACUUUCACCCCAAUUAUCUAAAUAUAUAUUGCCUACAUAACUACCUACAAACAUUGUAACCAACAAGUUAAUUAAAAUUCUAUUAAAGAACUAUUUUUUUGACAAAUAUUCAAAAAACUAGUAAAAGAUCAAAAUUUACUUGUUCAUGUAUGAAAAUUUUAUACUAAAUUCUUUCAUAUAAAGGAUCGUUCCGAAAUUCCACAUACAUCGAGUGUGCCUUUAUCGCUAAUUUGAGAUAAUAUGUGUAUCCAAACAUAGUAAUAAUUUCUUCUAUUCUUUGCUUUGUUCGGUAAAAUGGAUUAAAAAAGCAAAUGAAAAAUACCCCACUCGACCUUUACAAAACCGCCCUCCCCAAAGUCAGUGGAUAAAUACCACAGCCCAUGAGCCCACUAGAAAUUUAAAAAACCAUAAACUCCAAGACCACUGGAAAAGCACCCAGCCCCUGGUUUCUGCAACAACUUAUUUACACAAACUUUUGAGAUGACAGAAUAUAAAUAUGGCUGAACUCCCCAACAACAUCAGCACCAAAGAACAUCUUCUCAGAAUUCAGAAAAACAUCUCUAGUACUCAACCAAGCUUCAAGAGUUCCAGAAAGACUCCAUCAUCAACAAGGAAUCUUUACAGUUUUAAAAUUUAUUCUUGCUGAAAAUGAGUUCAACAAGCAGGGCGUGGAUAGCAGCGGUGAGUGUAGGCGCAGUGGAGGCAAUGAAAGAUCAGGGAUUGAAUAGGUGGAACCACACCAUGAGGUCUGUACACCAGCUUGCCAAGAACAACCUCAGGUCCCUGUCUCAGACCAAGCAGCUUUCUCCUUCUGCAUUGGCUUCAUCAAGCAGUAAAGCUAAAGAUCAAGAAAAACUAAAGAAGUCUGAAGAAUCAUUAAGGAAAGUCAUGUACUUGAGCUGCUGGGGACCAAAUUGAUUGAGCCCCCCAUUAGUACUACUAUUUGUAAUUUUUUUUACAUACAUGGGGCGAUGUAAAACUGGAAAUUUUGGUAAUUUUGUACCCACAAAAUUGUAAAUUUUAAAAUUUAUGGCAUUUUUUGCCCAAUGAAUUGGAAUAGAAAAUUGAUGUGUUCUUUAAUGUGCAAUUUCAGUUUAGCAUUUCUUAAUGGGGUUAACUGCAUUAGCAUCUCGAGGAGGUGUGAUAGAUUAAAAUUGAUUAGAUUAAAAUGUAGGUUAAUCCAAGCCGCCUUAAUUGACAAGAGAAAUAAAGAGUGACAAAAUUGUGGGGUCAAUGUAUUGGCAAACAACGCAUGAUUGAGUAUAACACAGACGACUUCAUUAAGCAGUAUUAUUAGUAGUUUAGGCCCGAGAUAUUCACCUUUUUUGUUUUGUCAAAACCCGAGGAUAUUCACUUGGCUUUAUUGGAUCCGUAUUUUCUCAAUGUACUUUAGGCUUCCAAAGAGGCUAAUAAGAUUGAGUAUUGUUUAACUCAUCAUGCAAAAACUGCCAAUCUUCUUAAAAAUCUAUGGAAUUCAUCGCCAAGUUUUGUCAAGUAAAUCGUGUUGAACGAUAUCUACCAAUCUCAUUAAUAAAGUUUCCUGUUUUAUAAAAAAAAAAAAAAAAAAAGUAUUACCAUCUACUACAUGGCCUCAUUUUUAGACUGAUUUUCAAAACUUGAUUUUAGAUUUUAAUUUUAAAAAAAUUAUUUUAUUGUGUUCUCAAUUGCUGUUCAUAUUUUGAUUUUGAGUUUUUUUAGCUUUAAAAAAUUAAAAAUUAGAAGCAUCUAUUUUGAUAUUUUUUAUUUUAAUUUUCCAAAAUUAGUUCUUAUACAAUCAAAAACAGUUGGGAACAAGGCCAAUAACUUGUUUGUCUAUUUUUAUUCAAUAGGAAGGACUUAUGUUCUCAUUGUUAAUUACUUCAAGUAUUAACAAUGCUUGCACUCAAGAUUAAAUCUCUUAUACUUGAAAGUCUGUUGUGGCUAAUUCUCAUAGAAUUAAAUUAACCCAUAGUAGCCAUACACUUGUUCUUCUAUUUUUAAGAUUUUGGAAUUUUCGCGUGGGUACUUAGGUGAUUUUUAUACACGCGCCACUUUGUACAAUGACCAUAACUUACAAGUUCGCCUUAAACCUUUUUUUUUUUUUUUUUGGAAGGAAUUCACCUUAAACGUUUCUCUCGUAAUAUUUAGAAUUAUAGUUCUCGUCAUUCUUGAGAAAAUAAAAGUAUACAUCAAAUAUGUACGUUGCUAACCAAUUAUGAAUAAAGUAAAUAAAACUAAAGGUCUACUAAAAUGGAAAUAAGAUUGCACAUAACGCAUUAUGCAAAUUUUGCCUUUUUGAAUGUCUUAGAAUUUUCUUCCGUCAAGAAAGCAGUGGUGAACAAUUUUCAACAAUCUUAUUGAUAAAACUCUUUUGUUAUAUUAAAAAAAGUUAUUAAAAUGGAAUUAGUCCUUUGUAUAUUUGACUGGGGGUGCCAAUUGGGAUUUCGUAAUCAGGUUUUAACAAAUCCAAAUUCGAUUCACAAAUGAUAUAGGUUUUUUGAUCUUCGGGCAUUCGGGUUUGAAGUUCAAAUUAAAAGGUUCGAUCUCAAUUCUCAUUGUUAAAUGAGUUUCAGGUUCAAAUCAGACUUGACUCAAACUCAUAGUUAAAUACAAAAUUAUAUAUAAUAUAUUUAUAAUUAUGAAUCACUAUAAAUUUAUAUAUAAAUUAUUAUGUCAUAGAUAUUUAUAAUUACACACACACAUUCAUAUAUGAGCCGGGUAUUAGCUGUGUUCGAUUCUAGCAUGAUUCAAAUUCGAUUUUACAUUUAGGGUGUAUUUGAUAAAAUUGAAAUCUGAAAUCUGAAUCCAUUAAGUUAUUAAAUUAUUAAGUAUUAAAUCUAAUACAUUUCAAUGCAUAUCACAUUCAACGAUAAGUUAAUAACUUAUCACUUAAUUUUGGGAGCAAGUUUUAAUUAGAAAAUCUAAUACCACUUAAUUAAUUCAAAUGUUCAAUUUUUUUUAUCAUCAAAUAAUCUGAAUAUAUUAAGAUCUGAUUCCAUUAAGUUUAAGGGUUGAAUUUGAUUAUCAAAUAGGGCCUUAGUUCCGGUCUAAUAUUAAGGCUAAACUCUAUCUAGUCCAAAUAAAAAUUAGUCCAGCGGUUUUUUUGAGCCAAAUAAGCCGAGCUCGAACUGUUCUAAUCCCAUUGACAACCCUAUAUUUGACAUGGGUACGACUAAUCAGUAACUCCAAAUAAUUUAUUACCCUUUCAAUGCUAAGUGAAGAAGAAGAUAACAAUUCCCUCUUUUCUUCUUAUCUUUCAAUGCUACGUAAUUCCAAAAUUGGCCGCUUGAUUUCCUGGAAACCGUGCUCUCCAGAGCCAGUUGAGCACGCCACAGCCCUGAGCCCACAAGAACUUUAAAAAACCACACUCUCCUAGACCACUGGAAAGCUACAGAGCCCCUGGUUUUUUGCAACAAUCAUCAUACACAAACACACACAAACUUCAGAGAAUCUGUGUAUAUAUAUGACUGAACCUCCCAACAGCUCCAUCACCAAACACAUCUUCUUCUCAGAAUUCUAAAAGCAUCUGCAGCACUCAACUAAAGACUUGUAUCAUCAACAAGGAGUCAAUCUUUCAGUUUAACUACGUUCUUGCUGAAAAUGAGUUCAACAACCAGGGCAUGGAUAGCAGCAGUAAGUGUAGGAGCAGUGCAGGCAAUGAAAGAUCAGGGACUGUACAGGUGGAACCACACCAUUAGGUCAAUGCAGCAGCUUGCCAAGAACAACCUCAGGUCCUUGUCUCAGACCAAGCAGCUCUCUCCUGCAUUGGCUUCAUCAAGCAUUAAAGUUAAAGAUCAAGAAAAAAUUAGGCAGUCUGAAGAAUCAUUAAGGAAAGUCAUGUACUUGAGCUGUUGGGGUCCAAAUUGAUUGAGCCCCCCCACUAGUACUAUUUAGUUUUGUAAUUUUAGAUAUAUGGGGUGAUGUAAAACUGGAAAUUUUGGUAAUUUUCUACCUACAAAAUUGUAAAUUAUAUGAUUUUAAGACAUUUUUUGCAAAUGUCUUUCUUUAAAUAUGGUCUCUAUAAUCACUGCUUAGUUGAAUUAAUUAAUUGCAUUAGCAUCUCAAUGGGUGGCAGAGUUAAUGGGGUUGAGCUCAGGCAGCCAUACCACCAAAAUUGGUAUAUUUUGCUAUUGAAGAAAUGCGAAUUUUGCUAUAUAUCCUCCAUGUCAUAAAAAAAAUUCUUCCCUUUCACCAAAAUUUUCAUGGCGACACAAGUAAACUCCAGAAGAGAACUCCUAGCCCCAGGUAUGGAUGCUUGCCUUUGGAAUUAUCAAGAAUUUGCUUUCCACUGAUCUCGCCAAAGAAUAUGUAUGAGGUUUUUCUUCCUUUUUUUUUUUGGUUUAAUAAAAGAGUGAUACGUUAUUUUUUAUGCUCGACAUGAAAUGAUAGGGAAAAAAAAAACUUUUGCACAUAGAUACAUAGGAUCGGUCCGCAAUCAAUACGCCCGGAUAAAGGAAAAAAAAGAAGGUGAAAAUUUGCAAUUUUUUUUCCCUGAGAAUUGCAAUAUUGUUUUGAUAUUUGAAAGGUUAAUAUUUAGGUGCUGUCCAAAUCGAAAGCAAAUACUGGCGUAUGUAAAUCCAAGGCUAAAUUGAUUAAAGAUGUGUUUCUUCCUAUUGUUCUUGCUUUUGGCCCAUACUUGACGGUUGAUACUUCCGCUCCAUCCCAUUUCCUAAAACGAGACAAAUAGCCAACAGCUUAUUUGUCAUUCCAAGAUCCUAUCCAAUUGGCUGCAAAACCGUGUGCUCGUUGUCAUUGUCAACCAUAACUAGCAUGUCCAUUUUUUCUUUUGUUCUAAAAUUAUCUUCUGUCCCAAAAUUAUCUUCGAUCUCAUCUGUUUGAUGAGAUCUGGUCCGUGUUAUACACGUAACAGCUAUAUAAAUACGAAACAAAUCAAAUAGAAGGUAAUUUGUGAACAGAAGAUUUGAAACGUGUAUUUUAUAUUGGAUAUGGAAGAGUAUCUCAUUGGAAGUUAAGUACUACAAUAACAUACUUAAAAAUGCACUCAAGACUAUCUCUUAUACAUCAAAGUCUAUGGUGGGCAAUUUCCAUAAAAUGAAUCCAAUAUAACCACUUUUUCUUCUAUUUUUAAGUGUUCUUUCUCAAUUUUAGAGUUUUCCCUUCUGUACUUAAAUGGAUUUUUCCACCCCCACUCUACUUUGUAGGUCUAGAGAUUUAAUUUGUAAUCACUAGUGCUAAUUGCACUAUAUAAUGUGGAUAGUAUCACAGUAGAUACGGACACGGACUUGACCCGGACACCCCACUCCGUCGACCAAAAAAAAAAAAAAAAAAAAAAAAAGAUACGGACACGGACUUAAUAGAAGUAAAUCCUAAGAUGAUAACAUACAAAAUCAUCUAACAAAUUUUGUAAUUUAAUGGAAUUUGUGUCCCAAAGUUAAUUUUAUACAUCCAAAUUCGCAUUAUAUCAACGCUGGCCAUGAAUCAUAUGGUGCUGUUGACCUCACAAUCAAACCAAAAGCAGUUCCAUGUUUUUUUGUACAAUUGAGUGUAGCAAAGAGGUCCACCUUAGAUUUUUGGGAUAAUUUCAAAAGCCCCACUGAGGUUUCUAACAAUUUCAUUGAGCUCCCUGAGGUUUGGAAACUUACACAUACCUUCCUUGAUUUGAUAGUUUUAGUAACAAAAUCUUAAAAUAUCAUUGACUUGAUCAAAUUUUUAAAUGAAUACCCAAAAAUGCCCCUGUGUAAUGAGUUUUAAUUUAUUUAUCCAUACAAUUAUAAGAUUAUCUAAUAUAAUUAUAAGAAAAUGUGCCAAAAUUUUUAUGUUCAUACCUACUAUUUGAUAAACAACUAUAAUAAUAAUUUUAUCAUUAUGAUAGAAUACUUUUGAUGGUAUUUUAUUAUGGAUUUAAAUAAUUCAUUUAAAGUUUAUGAAUUUUUCGAGUAGUGGGAUUAUCAUAAUUUAGUAGUGGUUUUGGGCCAUUUUCUUUUGAUUUAUUGUUAAUUUUAAUACCAAAAAAUAGAAAACAAUGAUUAGCAAAAACAUUGGAUUGCAUAAAAAGUUAAUUCAUCAAAAAAAUCACUAGUUCGACAUUUGGUUACAAUAGAAUUAGAGAUAAUAGUAGUAGUUCUACAAUUUUAUUGGCAAAAAAUUAAAAAAAAAAGGAAUAAGAAGGAAAAAGAAUAUAAAAAUAAUUUAAAAAGUCAUUCUAAGUAUAAACAUACCAAACAAGGAAAUUUCAUUAAAAUAUUUAAGGGUAGUAUUGUCAUUUUAAAUAAAAAGGAGGUAUGUGUAAUUUUUAAAAUCUUAAGGAGCUAAAUGAAAUUGUUAAAAACCUCAAGGGAGGAUUCUGAAAUUAUCCCUAGAUUUAUCCCUCCUAAUCAUAAAUAGAAUUCUCGUCCAAGUGAAAAUAAAAAAAUAUACAUUGGAUAUGUACUUUGCUAACCAACCAUCAAUAAAAUCUAUAAAACUAAAGUUGUAUUAAAAUGGAAUAAGUCUUUUGAUAUGUGACACAGGUACGAGUAAUCAAUAACUUCUCAUAAUUUAUUACCGUCUAAAUGUUAAGUAAAGAAGAAGAAAGUAAUUAAAUUUCUCCUUUUCAUUGCUUUGUUCGGUAAAAUGGACAAAACAAAUCGACUUUAGUGUUUUGAAAAUCGGAUCGAAUUGAUCAGUUCGAUCGAUUAAACAGUGAAUCAGUCAUACCUCCAUUCUGAUUCAAUGAAUAAUAAAAAAAAUCAAUUAAAUCGGUCAAGAAUGAACAAAAAUCGGAAAGUUUAACUGGUUUUUAUUAAAAUUUUUAUUUUUUUAAAAAAUAAAUAGUUUAAUUUUUUAAAAAUUAAUGCUAAAAUAAAUGAAUAAAUAAAAUUUUAAAUCGAGAUUGUACCGAUUGAAUCAAUUGAACAAUUGAACAUUUUUCCAAUUCACUCUUCAGUUCAAAUUUAAUAACAUUGGCCCACUUGACCUCAACAAACCAGCGGAAAAUGACACAGCCCACAAGAACCUACUAGAACAUUGAAAAAAACCAUACUCUCCAAGACCACAGGAAAAUCACACAGCCCCUGGUAUUUGCAUCAAUCCAUUUACACAAACACACAGAAACUUUAGAGAUGACAGAAUAUAUAAAUAUGACCGAACUUCCCAACAACUUGAGCACCAAAAAACACCAUCUUCUCCUCAGAAUUCUAAAAACAUCUCUAGCAUUCAACUAAGUGCCAGAAUAUCCUAAAGACUUCAUCAUCAACAAGGUUGUAUUAGUCUUUCAGUUUAAUUACAUUCUUGCUGAAAAUGCAUUCAAUGCACCAGCUUGCCAAGCAAAACCUCAGGCCCCUGUCUCAGACCAAGCAGCUUUCUCCUUCUGCAUUGGCUUCAUCAAGCAGUAAAGCUAAAGCUCAGGAAAAACUAAAGGGGGCUGAAGAAUCAUUAAGGAAAGUCAUGUACUUGAGCUGCUGGGGUCUCAAUUGAUCGAGCCCCCCAUAUGGCUGCUCUGUAGUUUUAUACGGUAUAUAGGAUGACGGAUAUGGAAAUUUUGUAUCUUUUUGGAUAAACAGAACUGUAGAUUCUAAAAUUUGAGGCCAGUUGUAAUAAAUAGAGCCAUCAAUUCAAAAAAAAAAUUGAGAUCUGCAAUUGUCAUUUUUUUUUUCAUAUAUCCUUUUUGUGUAUCGGUAUCUGGCCAUUUCGGAAACUUGUCUUGAAAGAUGGAAGGAAUAAAAAUCCCAAAAAUGUUAACUGAUGGUAAGUUAAUUAUGUCAUUCUGUUCAACUUAUUCCUGAUAAUAAAAGAAAAAAGUUAAAACUAAUUUGGCUUAAGUAUUUUUUUUUGGUUAUAGAAGUGUGAUAAGCCCACAUCAAACCUUGGCUCAACCAACUUUAUUUGCCUCUACGGGCUAAUCUGUUUUUUUUUUUUUCUCUUGAAAGAUAUGGGCUAAUUUUUAUGACGUCUGAAAGAAAAAUAUAUAUUUUUUGGUUGAUCAUAAAAGUACAAUAUGCCGACAUCACCUUAACCAUAGCACCUUAUAAGUUGGGCUAAAAGACAGUGGCAAGGUGUGAUUACCUGAUUGUGUAUCCUUUGAGCGGUGAAUUGGAAAUUUAAAGGCUAAAUAUGGACACUCAAGAACCAGAAUACUAAUGAUUAGUCAUAUCAUGCUAGGAAAAAAGUACUAAAAGAUUAGACUGAUUAGAGCUAACUUGAGCCAAUUGAACGUAAAGCCAACUAUUUAACAGGAGAACGUACUACUUUAUACCAAUAUUUAUCAUUCUUCAUUUACAGUUAUGCCAAUCUUUUCCCUUUUCUGAACUCAAAGAAACUCCUGCGCUCUACUAGACUACUGCUUGUGCUGUAACUGUAAAUUCUUAAAUAGGAAGCGUGGUCUUCACCAUUAGAUCCUGGGUAGGUCAGUAAAGAAACUUCAAGCCCUUUGCAUAGGUGACCGUUUUGGUCUUCAUGAAAAUACUGUUUUACAAAAAUUAUUCAAAACAUACUUUUAAAGGACAUGGUCAAAGAAAUAGAGCCAUCUGUAUCCCUGGUUAAAUAAUGUCGUACGUGGUAGGAAAAUGCCAAAUUGGACAAAGAUUUCCAGCCGAUUCUUUUAGCCAUAAUCAACAUUUAGCUUUGUUUCUUCUGUUCAUAGUCAUGCAGCAGAGCAAGUAGAUCACUAGUUGUCUUAAUUUUUUCUUGAUGAAGUCCACACCUACUUCCUUUUUCCCAUGUUUAACGUCUACAAUCCUGAAAACAGUAGAAAAGAUGGUGCAAUACUGUAAAUUGUGAUCAAUGUUGUGCUAAAGGAGCUUGUUUGAGUUAAAAAAGAAAAAGAAAAAAAAAGACAGGUUGUUUGAGUUCACGGGCAUUAGGAUCUCAAUAUUGGCGGACUAGGGUCUUUGUGACAAAUACAGUUCGAAAGAAUUACUCUCUCCGUCCUAUUAUUAAUGUCAUGUUUUCACUUGAUGUUUCAAAUAAGAGUUACCAUUUUAAAAUUAACACAUUACUUUUCAAUCUUAUUAUUUAAAAAAGUAACUUUUUAAAAUUUCAAUUCACAUCUAACUAGAGGAUAUUUUGAAUUCAAAGAAUACGUAUGUAAAUUCACUGCUACCGUCUCAUCUGGAUAUAAUGAUUGCUGUGUUUCUAUAAAAAGUUGAAUUUUCAAAAAAUGACUCUAAUAUUGGGACAAAGGAAGUAUACCUUAGUUUCCUCAAAAAUUAUGGGGUGGCUUGCUUCUAUGAGGAUAAGUUUACAAGUUGUCUAUGAUAAAAAAUUCUAAAAUCUCUCAGUGGUCAGGUAACUAAGUGAUCACCAGUUGGGAUUGUAGAUUAUUGUCAUACCAAAGUAACCAAGGGCCAGUGAAGAGCUUUUAGAAUCUUCUCCACCGGGACGCUAUCAGGUUUAGAAUUCGAAUUUUAUGUCUGAUAAUUAGAGGUGGGAGGCGUGGAAGGGUAAAAAAAAAAAAAAAGUAAUCAAUGACCAUGAUCGCCAUGAACGGUUAAGGGGCAAAAAAUCUGGCGAAAAUCUGAGAUUUUGGACAUAAUCAAUAGUCAUUCUCAAACCUCAAAGAAACUGGAUGCACAUACAUAUUUAAUUACUUCUUAAUUGUCCUAAGAAAUGACCAUUGAUGUAGCCACCAUAUCACUUUAAUAAUAUCUGCAUGGAUGAUUUUUCUCUAAACCUUCUAUUAAUUCCUCGACUAUAUAUUUUAAUCAAUUUACUAACUUCUUUUCUUACAAUUCACAUGUAUAUACAAGUCCUGUAUUGACAAUUCACAAGUAAAUAUAUGAGUUAAGUCCUUCUUCUGCAUUGACAAUUCACAAAUAAAUAUAAGUUCUUCUCAAAUUAACCAUCCAUCUGGGCUGAAGCAAAAUUAUAAGAUUCCUCGUGGAAAAUUUUAAUUGCCACUUGUCUGGUUAAUUUAUAUUAGUGAACAUUUUCAACUCCCUAACCAUACGUGGAUUAAUCAAAUCAACGUUGUAAUAUAAUAAUUUAGAAAGGAAAGAAGAAACGUCAUGCUAUAGGUAAUAUCAAUAGUCUUUUUUUUUGGGUGUCUUCUCCCAAAUGUUACCACGACAAAUCACAUCUAAUCUAAAUUUGGAAAGCCAGAUAUAUAUAUAGGUAUAUAUAUACAUGCUUAGCAAAUAUAUUAUAGGCAAUUAGGCAUUACUAAUAAUCUAUGAUAAAUGGCAAAUUUUCUAGACCAAAACUUGAGGUUUAUUCGGCUGUUUUAGGUGUGAGUUGGUAAGGAAAGUGAACUAGACAUUUGAGAUGUCAUGUUCAAACUUCAAAGCUCCAUCCCAUUCUAUCCAAGACAUAUAACGCUUGAAGCAUCUCGAGCACCGUCCUUGAUUUUUUCAACUACAUUAAUCUGCUGUCAGACACAAGAUUCGAAUCUUGAAUCUAAUAGCGAGAAAGAAUCUUUCUCUGACUAUUAGACUGAACAUUAAUCCAUUUAGUUAAAACAACUGAAAUUAGUUUUAUUUUUCAAGAUAAAUGUCAAAUUUUGUUCAAUUAUUAUCGUCGAAUGAAUUAGGCAUUAUAUUCAUCUUUUCUUAAUCCAUCACAAGCUUUGGAUUAGUCCUUAUCGAAAGAUACAAAGAGAAAAAAAUGAUUUAUGAAAUUGGAAGGAAAUAAUAUUGUAACACGCUAAUCCACUAUUUAUUACAUAAGCUUGAACAAGUUGAGUGACUAGAGUAGUAAGUAUUACAUCAAGUUUUUCCUUCUCCCUUCCAUGGUUGAAAAGAACCAAAUAAUAAUGAUGGAAGAGUUUUAACUUUAAAGGUGAAUCUGAGCCAAACGCUGCUUGAAGGCUGAAGCUGCUACUUUUCGCACUUCAAAAAAACAUAUCGAAUGACAGAAACCUGUUAAAAGAUAAAAAGCUGAACAAGGGGAACAUGCAAGCGGCCCUGCCGACAAAGUCGAGUAAGCAGCAGAACACGUACUUCGCUUUUAUAUGUUCCUCCUACCUGUCUUGGUUCAAUCAUAUUCUUAAAUGAUAAAAAAGUAGAAAUUCUUAAAUGAUAAAAAAGUAGAAGCAGCAGGUGUCUGUGAAGAGACAUUCGUUUGAAUCUUGUGGCAGUUUAAUCUUCUCCCAUUCUCUUUGACUUUCUUUGAUUUACUUCUUCUCCUUAGAUAACUUUGUAAUUUUUUUUUUUGAAGGAAUCAAAAUUAGUCUUCAAAUAUUUAAAGAAAAUUUUCAAUUUUUUUGUUACAAAUGGUAAAAACUAUAGCACCCUACUCUAAAGGGGUGAAAGAAAUCUAAAUGGAUUAUGUAAGAUAUUGAAGAAAAAGACCUAUCUAAAUUAGAACAAUGCAGUGAUGCACCCUCUAGAUUAUUUUAGCGGUGGAGUGAGAAGUUUGAACUCCUGACAAACAUAUUCAUUUAUGAUGUAAGUCGCUCAAAUUUUAAGAACUUUCAUUAAGGGCGUGGAUUCAUUCCAUAAGCCCAACAAUUUUAUCCUUGUUCAGCUUUGUUAGUUUUUUGAGAUAAUUUCAAAAACCUCUACUUAGAUUUUUGAUAGUAUCAUUUAACGCUCUCAAACUUUAAAAAAAUAUCGCUUGUCUCCUCUAGUUUAAACUUUUUAUAACAUUUGUAACUAUUUCGAAAUAUAAAAUUGAAAAAAAAAAACUCAUUACGGGAAAGAAAAUAUAAUCUCACUCCAAAUUUGUCCUUUUCUUGUGGUCUCUUAAUUGUCAUAAUAUGUCACUUUCAUUUUCUUUGUAAGCUUGGUCGAUAUGAUUUUUUAAUGAAAAUUUAAAAGUUGAUAAUGGGGUUGAGAGGCACUUUUAAUAUAUUUUUUUAUCAUUUGUUUGGAUAAGAAAUACUAAAAUUUUUGAAAUUAUAAAUACUUUACAUUGCUUAUAAAAAUAACUUGAAAUGUGUUACAAUAAUGAAAAUAAAUUUUGGCACCAACUUGAAAAUAUCAUAAACAAGUUUGUAUAUGGUUUUUCGCAUUUUAUAUUUUUCUAGUUUUGAAGUAUUUAUAAAAUCCCUUAAAUUAGCUCAAAACAUUUUAUAGUAAUGAAAAUAAUGCUUUUGUAAUUUGCAAAAACCUCAAUUAACUUUCAAGCAUAAACUAUUUUGUAUAUUAAAAAAAUAAUUGCUGCUAUAUUUUAUCCCAUCAGAUUUAAACCUCCAUGCUCUUUGUUUUUGGUUUCAAAUUAUUAUCAAUAUACUCAGGUUUUGUACCAAAGAGUAAGACAAUAAAUUGAUAAAAUUCGAAUGAGAUUAUAUUCUCUCUUCUAAAAUGAGUUUUUUAAUAUUAUAUUUUGAAAUAGGUUGAGAAUGUUCCAAAAAGUUUAAAGUAGGGAUAGCAGGUCGUAUUUUUCAAAGUUUGGAGGUACUCAAUAAUACUGUUAGACAUCUUAAAGGAGGUUUUUGAAAUCAUCCCUAGUUUUUUUUUUCUUCCCUUGAACUUUGAUACUUUAUAUUGGGAGUUAGCUUGAAAUUUUAGAUUAUAUUUUGCCUUGUUUGGGAUUCUAGCUAUAAUAUUUGCCUUCUUUGGUAUUCUGGCUAUCUUUUUCAGUACUUUCAUGUUUUGGGUGCUAAGUUCCUACUAAAUACGUUGAAAACCAGCAAGCUGUUGGAUUAGGUGAUCGUGAUAGAUGGAGAUGUAAUUUUUUUUUUCUCGUAGUUGCACUUAUAGGUGAAGUCCAAGCAUUAGUACCUUGGAGUCGACAGCUGCCUAAAACGAAAAGUAAAAACAUGCAUACAGAUGGAGAAAGCUCAACGAACAUAACAUACACUAAUAAUCAUUUUAGGGUGAAGACUAAGAAAUAUAUCCUCUUUUGCUCUCUUAUUCAACUCGAAUUAGGCAGUCAAACCCACGAAGCUUUCAUUGGUAAUUAGUGGUAUGAUAAAUUUUUAUGCAUCAACUUGGAGGGUGGUUUUAACGCAUUAUUUGUCGCGCUUCCAAUGUGCCAUUGACCAAUAUAAUUAUCUCGUAGAGGCUCAAAAUUUUAAUCCAUGAUUAAGAUUUAAUUAUCCUAACAAAAAAAUUUAAUUACACUAUCACCAUCACAAUUUUAACUUGUCGAAAUUCAAUUGCGAAACACGAAUUCUUUUUAUUUUUUUUUAAGUAUGACUAGAAGCAACUCUUUUUUUUUUUUUUUUUAGGGUUUUCCGCAGGGAGUGGAUCCCGCAGACUAAUCCCCUGCCCCCUGCAACUUGCUGGCAACUCACACAAAUGAGUUCUCAGUACAGUACAAUUCAAUAACAUUACAACCCAUAAUUCAUAAAUAAUGGGAUAUAGUUAUUGAUAAACUCCCAUCGGUCAGUGUGACGAAACAUAAAAUUCUAAGCAUGUAUACAAAGUUUUUCUAACCAAUAAAAAAAAUCAAGAGUGCAUUAUCAAACCAUGAACUCAUGAGUUCAAAAAUUACUUUCAAUCUAAUUAUCAAACCUUGAAAUCUAAUUCAAGGGUUCAAACUUCAAAAUGUAUUUGUCUUCUUCUCAUAGGUCCUAUAAUGUGCUAAAAGAAACAGUAUCAAUAUAUAGCUUGUUUUUGUUGAUGUAGAAGCUUUGUUUGAGAUACUCUUGUCAUUUAAAGGUUGUUACAUAUAGUCUGAAACAAAGGAGAAUAGAUAGACAUCAGCAUUGCAAAGUCUAGCAGGAUGUUGGAUUCUAGUGUGAAGAGAGGAACUUUAGUCAUUGUAAGACAAAAUGAAUUAGGUGGAGAAAGUGGGGGGAAUAGAUACUUUGUAAAGUUACUUGCAAGAACAUUAUAGCAUGAAAAAAAGCUAGGUCAAUAAUAAUGGUUAUCUAAUUCAAAAUGGUAGGCCAACUGUCGAGCUAAAAAAAUUGGUUGGUUUUCAAGAGAAUCCAAUGUAUAAUUCCUGUGUCGCAAGUAUUUUAAGACUGCUGCUUCACGCUUGGAGUUUGGAAAUUGAAAUACCAGUCAACAAGAGAACAUCCUCGCGUGGAAUUAAAUGUCGAAAUUGCUAAGUCAACCCGGAUUUUCCAAUGUUUUUCCACGAUGCAGCCAAUAAUAUUUUCAUGCAUGACUAGAAUUUAUUGUAAAUCUAGGAAUAUGUCCUUUUUUUUAAAAUUGUAAAGAAUUUAAGGAUGAGAUAUAUUUAGCCAAAAAUAGAUAUCGUGACAUGGAAUGAAUCGAAAAUCAAGAACGCUUUCAAUAAAAAGAUCAACUCUCUCGCUCGCUGAAACAAUUGAAUUCUCGACGAUCCAAAGGAAAAUAAAUUCCGUGAUGUGAUUGAAUUCUUAUCACACAAUCAUUGUGACUACAUUCCACAACAAAUAUUUCAAAGUUCUAGCUAUAUUAGCCUUUUAAUUAGUUACGUAUUGAAAACAUGAAUAUCUUGCUUAGCUUGUGAACGUAAUUUUCUCUCAAACUUUUAUUUUUUUUAAUUUUUCCAAAAGCAGUAGUAAUAUUUGCUAGGGCUUUAAAUAGUCUUGCAGGCAUGCAGUUGGACAUCUUAAGCCUGUCACUGUUACAAAACCAUCCAAAUUUAUGCUGGUUUUGAAUUUGAAGCCAUAUUAAAUCGAGAGACAUGCUGUUUAUAUUUCGUUAACUUUGAUAAUACUUCAACACUUUCAAUUCAGUAUCUCUCUCAAUUAAUAUGUUCCAGAUUCAGUAACCAGAAGAGAAAUAUGCUACUGAGCAAUCUGUACAUGUCUGAACAUCAAUGACCAAAACCAUACUUCAUUCAUUAUUAUUUGCAUCUGGCAGGGAUCAUAUACUGGUUUACAAAGCACAAAACUGAGAAUAUAGAUCUUGCCAUAUAGCAGCAUAUCAAUUACAGUGUAACAUCUGUUCUGAGAAUCUCUCUCUCUCUCUCUCUAUAUAUAUAUAUAUAUACGUGUUGCAAGUUGACCAGCAUGAUAAGAGAAAUGCCAUACAUGAUAGAGCCCACAACUCGAGCCAACUUAGAAAAAAAAAAAAUACUACCCUUCAGACAACUUGAUUAACUCUGAAACCACCAGCCUAUUCUAUCACUAUCUGACCUUGUCACAUUCACAAACACCACAAAGCCUGGAUUUUGCACAUAGCUGGACAGCAUUGAAGCCUUGAAACAUGUUUGCUCAGAACUCAAGAGCCAACAGUAAAGAGUACUUUCAGCUUCAAGCAGCAAGCUUUUAGUUCACAAAUUCUUCUGGGUAUUCUUUGAUUAUGGACUUCAUGUUAAAGAUUACGUAUCUAGUUGGGAAGUAGCAUAGUUUGGUUCAUGGCCUUGCGUUAUGGCGGCGCACGCUACUGGGAAAAUGAUUAAAAGAUGCAAAGCGAAAGUAAAGCAACUUGACUCUGCCCCUGAGGAAGAGAACCACAUGAAAGAACAUUAGUUAAAAAAACAAAAGGGAUGGUUGUCCUGAAUCCUGAGGUGUUCAUGGUUGGCGGGUGGGAGAAAAAUAUUGCAUACAUUACAUACAUGCCAAAGCCUUAAUCUGUACUAUUGAAUCAAGCAAAUGUGGUCUCACUUUUCUGCUCAAACAGGCUAAUACAAAUAAAAGUUGCGCCGCAGAAUAUUACCUAAGUUCUCUCUAGCAGGUGACUAGACAGUAGACAUUGAGCCUCAAAAGAGAUGAGGAGGCUAAGUGUAGAGCACAUGAGAUCAGAAACAUGCAAGAAUCAAAAAUGUGGUAUGAUUUACACAAAAAGAGGCCACCAUCAGAGUAAACAUAUAAAAACCAAAUCUACGUAUCAUAUACUAAAUUACACUUUCAUUGAGCUAUGGCAUUAUAGCCCCCAUAUAUCAGCAGUUAUAAACUAUAGUCGGCUCAAUCUGCUGGAAAGACGAGACACCUUCACAUGGCAAUCAACACUUUGGUCUCUGUGAGACUACUGCAGCAUGUAUGUUUUGUUAUGCGCAAACUCAUCAUGCCUGAUACGCUGUAGUCUAAAUAAAAGUGUCAAAAUAAAAAUAUAGUAUUAACUCAGACUUUGCCUAUAGAAAUAUCGAGAUCAUGAACAAGUCAAAAACACCUUUGAAUAAUUGACUACCACAGUAGUUGAUAUGAUUUCCCUGAGUAGAACCAGCCUUGGAUUGGUAAGGAAAAUGUACAGUUACCAAACGGACAUGUUUGCCUUAUUAGUCCUGCAACUUUUUAGAAGGGUUAAUGGUUCUUGCAGAAAAGGAAAUUCUCCUUUCCACCCAUACUGAAAGUGGAGAAGUUUUUCUACUCGUUUGUUGAUUGUUCUCCUUUUGUGGAAACCAAAAGAAGCACUGAAAAAACAACUCCACCAUAUCAUGUCAUGUCGCAAUGGAUAUAGCUCAUGAAACGCUUAAUUAGGAGAAAUGCACUUUGCACUAUUGUAUUCCAAAGGACAGCAAAAAAUCACAAGCCAAAAAUAGAACGCAUUCAAGAAAGAGGCAAGAGUGUAAGGGCAAAAAGUUGCUAUACUAUAAAGAAAAUGGUGUACUUAAUUGCCUCUGCGUUUGAAUGAAGCAUUUAUAGGCUGGAAAAAACACUUAAUAUAUAUUCUCUUCCUACAUAAUUCAUCCACAUCAGUUGAGGGCAAUCAUUUCUACCAUCAUUAUUGACUUAAAAAAUAUGAAAUAAUUGAUGAAACCCUCAACUAGAAGAAUCUUUUCAACUAAAAUAUGACAAAUUACAUCAAACAUAGAGCUACUAAGUUGUCCAUUACCAAUCACGCCAAAAAAAAAAAAAAUAGCCUUCCAAGGCUAAGCAUGCAACAUAUAUCACCAUCACAUAGAAUAAAGCUCUGAAUACCAAAAUAAAAACAAAGUACCUAAAGCCAUAUCUACUCGUCUAGGCAAACACCAUUUUCAAGCAUCCUCC